rfam:Brachypodium distachyon strain Bd21 chromosome 4, whole genome shotgun sequence.
CAAAUGACAAUGAUGGUGUUAAAUAUACUUUGCAGUUUUUAGCUAUGAAAUAAACUUACGAUCGGAGUCAUUUG